CGCAUCACUUGCCCGGAUUAGUACCAGGGUCCCAGGACGCCGCGCGCACCGCCCCGCAGACCGCCGGUCGCGGUCUGUCGUCGCCGGUCGGUCGGUCGUCGGUCGUUUCGUCGCGCGGGCUACGCCGUCACCGACUGCCGAGUGCAGAACUGCAGACUCCCGACAGCGAGCCACCAGCUCAGCGCCGUGCCCCGCGAAGGUCGCCCGGGCCCCAGCAUGAUCCCGGUCGAGGUUCGGGGCUUUUUGUUGCUGCUGAUGAUGAUCAUCUAUUAUUACGUUACAGUGAUGUCGAUAUUCUCCUAUUACGACGGCACGGUGAUCGACCGCCGAGGCUUUUCCAUAUACUUUUGGUUGAUCUAACACGACCGACAUGCCGCCGCCGGUCGUGCCCAGUGUCCACACGUUAUUACACCACGAUUUCCUGUAUUACUACACCGAUAAUAAUUUCAAUUAAGCAACAUAAUAGCAAGCCAAGUAAAUUAUAUUUCUCUACUGACAUAAAUAAAAAUGCUGUAACUUCGGAAUCCACCCAUGAACACAAUGAUUCUGCAGAUUUUAGAUUCCAAUACAUAAUACGCCGUUCGAACUAUGACCAGAUCAGCAGAACCUAACUCAUCGGUGACUACAUCAGCUAGCAUCCCUUCUUCUAUAAAAUAAAAUAUAAAUUUCAGCACUUAUUAAUUUGUUAUCAACUCUUUGUGAAUAAUAUACCAAAAGUGCCAAAGAAAUGUUUCAGAACCUGUACAUAAUUCUAAAAUAAAUUUAAAUAUUUGUCGUUUGGAACAUUGAACCCAUUUAGAAAUCAAAAAGAAGUAACUUAAAUUAUAAUUCAUCUUAUGAAAAAAA